AUGGAGCUCCCCCUUGAUGGGUUCCUUCAUACCUGUCUGGGAUUCCUUGAGGAAUACGACCACAUCCCUCACUACACCUCCACCGCAAAGUUUGGCGCUUGCAUUCCCGACGAUGACUGGGGUUUUUUAAAUUUUGCCAUGGCGGAAGCGCUCGUCAUUUGGGACACCAUGAUGGGCCGCCAGAGGAAGCUGCCCGGGCCCGACUUGUCGGACCACAACUAUGGGGCUGUAGUGCUCUACGCUCUGAGCGGCUGUGACCACGCGUGCAUUUCCUUGCCUGAGGUGGGUGGCUGGAGCAAGCCGUUCCCUCAAUCUGAUGUGUGGGGCAAGCCAUGCUCUGGUCUUGACCUUGCAGCUGAUGAAUUAAUCGCGCGAAUGACCCCUAUCCUUGUUGAAGAAUCACUUAACUUCAUGGUUGAGUAUGACCAUGAUGAUGGUCGCGUAGAAAUUUUGAGAUCUAAUUUCUUAUCAUUGGUUGAUGCGCCGCUUGUGGGGCCUGACAUUGUCGUUACCGCUAUCCUCAUGGCCAUGGAAGAUGGCAGUUUGGGAUUUGCACAUGUUGACAUGUUUACACUCUACCAGUGUAUCAUGUCAUCCCCCUUUUUGGAAUCACACCGACAAAUCUAUGUUUGCAGAAAGGGUGAUGCGGUGCCUAGUGACGUGCACAUUGACAAGGUAUGGUCGAUAACCUUCCUGUUUCCCCAUGUUGUUGGUGUGCUGCAUAUAACAAGUAGUGCACUGCAAUGUCCAUGUGAGACGAAGAUGUUCAUAUGUCUGGUCAGAGUAAUCACUGCAACUGCUUUCCUGUUCGCGGAUUUUCCUUAG
rnacentral:rRNA from 1 species